rnacentral:lncRNA from 1 species
AUAACAACUAUCAUAUUCCUGACUUGGUACAGACAUUUUCUAAAGUAGAAAAUGUUGAAUAAGACCUGGUUUUAUAGCUAGCUAAAACUCUUAAGGAAAUGACAGUCGCUUAAAAUUCCUUUACAUUGACAAUGAUGUGUGCACAAAACAAACAGACACAAUAGGUUAAAAUGUCAAAAAUAGGGGUACUGCAGUCAACAUUUACCAUGACACAAUAAUACACUGAAAGGAUAUAUAAGUACAGAGACACGUCGUAUAGACAAAGCAUAUAAACGAAAAUAAAAGACAAGAAUAUAGAAAUAAUCAUUGAACAAUAACACAAUGAUGAGAUGUAUAAGUACAGAGCCAGGUCAUAUGUAACAAAGAAAACAAAAAGUAUACUAAGGCGG